UACGGGGGGGGCAAGCGUUGUUCGGAAUUACUGGGCGUAAAGGGCUCGUAGGCGGCCAACUAAGUCAGACGUGAAAUCCCUCAGCUUAACUGGGGAACUGCGUGUGAUACUGGAUGGCUUGGAUUUGGGAGAGGGAUGCGGAAUUCCAGGUGUAGCGGUGAAAUGCGUAGAUAUCUGGAGGAAUACCGGUGGCGAAGGCGGCAUCCUGGACCGGCAUUGACGCUGAGGAGCGAAAGCCAGGGGAGCAAACGGG
rnacentral:rRNA from 1 species